rnacentral:misc_RNA from 1 species
UGGUUCUGGCAUCGAUGAAGAACGCAGCGAAAUGCGAUAAGUAAUGCGAAUUGCAGAAUUCAGUGAGUCAUCGAAUCUUUGAACGCACAUUGCGCCCUUUGGUAUUCCGAAGGGCAUGCCUGUUCGAGCGUCAUUAUCAACCCUCAAGCUCUGGCUUGCUGUUGGGUACGUGGAGUGGCCACCACUCCACACCCGAAAGACAAUGACGGCGUUCGAUGGAAGCCUGGUACAAUGAGUCUUUACAGGCACGUACUGUGGUCGACCGUCGAACCCGGUCUCAACCCCAUUUUUCUUAAGGUUGACCUCGGAUCAGGUAGGAAUACCCGCUGA